rnacentral:misc_RNA from 1 species
GUAUUGUAUUGCGUUAAACGCGGCAUACAUUCCAUGAGACUUUGUUACAGUGUGUGUGUGUAAAGACGUAGAACCACAGCAGGAGGACAGAGUCCCCCAUGCCCCAGAACUACGGAGGGUGCACAGGUGUGAGUGGAUGUGUAAACAGAGUGUGCACAUGCCCCCAUUUGAGGACCAGCAACAACUCGUGUUGACAAUUCAGUAAUGAUCCUUCCGCAGGUUCACCUACGGAAA